CAAAAUUACAAUUUGUAUUAUAAAACCAAACAGUUCAAGUGUUUGAGUUUGGUCUGUAUAUAAGACUGAUAACUGUAAACGAAGGUGAAGGGCUGCACGUUAUACGUAUUCAAUACAUAAAAUCAAUUUGCACAAAUCAUCAUCAAAACAUGUUUGUUUUUUUAUCUUUUAGUUUCUUGAAUAAUAUGCUACACCAUUCUUCAAUUGCUUUUUUGUCCGCC
rnacentral:lncRNA from 1 species